UGCAGUGGAGCCUUCACACCAAAAUCCGCCAUUGGAGAUGAGUACUCCAGUUGAAGAAGUUUCUGCUCAUCUAAAAAAAUUCAAUUACGAGGAUUGGAUUUCAAAGCUGGAUGCACUGUCAAUAUGGAUGUACAAUUUCGGCGACCAGCAUUUCCCGUCAACUGUAGAACAGAAAAUCUCUGACAUCGAGCAUCAAAUUUGUUUGUGCAUUGAAGUCCUCGAAUCAGUUCCUGCAGAGAAGAGAGAAUUAAAUCGUGAAUGUGCAAUGUUUGAGUAUCUGAAAGGAAGAUUUUAUAAUGCAAUUCCUGAUGUUUAUAAGGAGGAAGCAGAGCGUCAUCUACUGAAAGCUGUGAGUGAAAGAAGAAUUGCAUAUUUAAUGUGUUGUUGAUUGUUGAAUUUGCGUUUGGUUGGCUUCUCACUCUUAAUUAUAUCUACCAGACUCAAUUAGAUCCGCUUCUGAUGGAUGCUUGGAAUUGCCUCGGCUCUUGCGUUGCCAAAAAAGGGAAUUACCAAGAAGCUAAAGAAUACUAUCAGACUGCCCUUAAAAUGGGUGAAGAAAAUGCGGUAAUAUUACGUCAACUUGCAGACCUUGAACUGACGUUUGCACAAGUUGCUGAAAAUCCAGCCAAGCAGAUUGAUGAAUGCAUCAAAUAUGCCGAAAGGACACACGCUCUGGAUGACAUGGAUGGAGGUUGUUUAUAUAUCUUAGGAUGUGCACAUUUCACUUCCUUUCUUCUGAGGGGAGGAUGGGAUCACAAUAAUCUUCAACUGGCAUUAGAGGCAUACGAAAAAGCUGUUUUUUACUCUAUUUCAGAAGAGAAUUGAUACAAUGAAGUCAAACCCACAUCUUGAAUACGACUGUAGCAUGAUAUCAUGAUAUCUUAAAUAUAGACUUCAGUUUCCCCCUUGAUGUCUCUAACUGGAUUUUCAAACGCUGCAUUAAAGAAUCCUGCUAGUGAUGCUUUACAUCAAGUGAAAGUGACGCUCCAGCUUCUCGACAAACUAAAAGGAUUACUUCAGGUUAGGUGAUAUGACAAGAAUAAGGGGAAGAGUAAGCGAAAGAGCAAGGGAAAGAGUAAAGGAAAGAGCAUGAAAACAGGCUUGCCUGCCAUGAUCCAAUCACUUUCUAAUAUUGAUCUGAAUCCUUCAUACAAGAGAGUAACCGUGGAUCUCUUAACUGAAGGCUUUAACAAACAGAUUGAGGUUGUAGCAGCAGUACGAUGCUUAGUUAAAUAUGAGUAUAAAGCUCCAGUGUAAGUUACAUCAUCUUGGAGGAACCCACAUGAGUUGAUCAUUUUCAGCAUUUCCUUUAAAAGUGAAAGUCACUUGUCUGUGCAGCCCUAGUGUAUGCUAAAUACUUAUCUAUCAACGUAUACUCUUAAUCUACAGAUACUAUAUGCUCUGUGACUCUGAUUAGAAUAGUUUUGUACUCACAGCGUUCGGCAUACAGAAGGAAGCAGUAAGCACUACUUUAUGCGGUUUAAUUAUUUCUUGGUACAUUUAUCCAUUAAGACCUUACUUCCUAGAAAAAAGUGGUCUAGUGGAUACCGAUAUGAGAAAAUUAAUAAAUAAAUUUCAGAUAUUGACACGUUAGUUUGCUGCUAAACUGCUGCAGCACUACAUGCCAAAAAAUAAGUGAAGGAUCUUUCCUCCCUUUAUUCAGUUCUUAUGUUUCUUGAUACAUUUAUCCAUUAAGAUCUUAGUUCUAAGAAAAAAGUGUUCUACUUCUUUAAUACAUAGUCAAACACUAAAGAUGAAAAGAGAGAAUAGUAAAGUGAGUUAGCACUUCAAAAAAUUUCUGUAAAUUGGAAUAAUUUGUUUCUAUGUCAUUCUAUCAAACACCAUUCUUAUCUUGAUUUCCCCAUUUGUCCAUACUUGAAGAGGAAAAGAUUUCCUUUGCCGCUUAAGUAAUCCAUUAGUGAGCCUGAAUAUCUCUUAAUAAUGAUGAUCAUCUCAUUCAAAAUGUUUUAUCUUUGAAUAUUUAUCCUACUCCAGACUUUUGUGGUGACACAUAGCGUAUUCCUACUAAAAUGGAAUAAGAAGAUGAAAUAACAUAAAUGAAGCUUCUUUUAGGAAAUGUAUGCUCUAUGAAAAGUUGAUACUGCAAGGAGAAAAAGAAACAAAAAGGAAAAGAAGUGAAAUGACACAGGAACUAUGAGUCAUGACAAUACUGUUUUACAUCAGAGUAAUUCACUGAUAUUUAGUUUCUAUAAGCAUUUCCAAUCCAAUUCCCCAUUAGAUAUUCACAUCAUUACUUAACAAACUACUGUUGUUUGACAGAUUAAACAAGGAGAUCAGGUCAUACUAUUGGAGCCCAUUUGCAAAUUUAUUGAUUUUGAAUGGGAAGGAAAGGUAAGUAUUUCAAAUGCAAUGCUAUUACAAAGAUGUCAUUUUUCUUGCUAUAUCACAUUUCCCCCUCUAUAAGCACCACAUCUUAGAUGAGUUCUAUUAGCUUAUGGAUCCCUUUAAUUUGUGUAUCGACUCCACCUUAUAACACUUGAGCCUCUUGCAGUGGUAAUUUAAUUUGGUGUCAAUGGUAUGGUAAAAUUGGUAAGUUACCUAAAUAGGAUAGGAGUUAAUCUGGUCCCAGUCUGCCCUUUUCUUGAUUGUAAUUGAUUGGAAGCAGAGCGGUCUUCCCUAAACAGGAACAUGAAGUCAUUUCUUGCAGUUUCUGAAACCAAACAGUUUCCAAAUGAAUAAUUGGAUAACAGGUGGUUUAAGUGCUGGAAGAAUAAUGAUUUGCCUUGCCCAUAUGAUUUAUAAUAAUGGUAUUGUUAUUUUUACCGCAACAUUAUCAAUUCAAGUCUGUGCGAGUUAAUCUUCUGGAACAAGUCCUUUUAAAUGGAAAUCCCCUGCCUCCUAGUUCUGCCAUGAGUGACUCAUUACCAUAGGCAUAAUACUCGUGUCUAUUACAUGCAGUAGCCCAUGUAUUUUUUUUUCAAUCUGACAAUGACGUUUCCUUAUAGAUGAUAUUUCUUUUUUUUUUGACAUUUGACAUCGAUGACUUGUAUGAAGUAAAACUUGUGUUCUCUUUCUAGUUCUUCGGCCAAAUCCUAUCUUUUGAUAUGCAUUAUUUGUUGCCUCAUUAAAAAUCUUGCUAGGAAAAUUUAGUUGGAAAAAACUUCGGUAAAGGAAAAAAGAAUGCAACACAUAUUUUACUCCUUCUGAUUAAAAACCACCACUUAAUUUCUUGUGAUGAUGUCAUGCAAUCUUCUAUACCAACUUCUCAAAUAUUGAUAUUGACAGUGUCUUUAUGAUCAAAUCACAUUCACGAAGAUGUUGUAUCGUUGAACACAUCUUGAUAUAUCAUUUUUUGCUUUCAUGUAUAUAUAUGAUGAGGCUUUGAGCUUAAUUAACCAAAUACAUUCUUGAAAAUCGUUCUAUUGGUGACCUUGUUAAUGCAAGUAAAUUGCUCAUUCAACUUAUUCAUAGUAACAACCAUAUGUGGACACUUUUAUUUGCUUGAUUGUCUUGUAGAAUAACUUUAUAUAUGUACUCGAUGUCAUUUCAACGUCUUCUCGUUGCGGAGGAGUGAAAUUUUGUCA